GAUGAACGCUGGCGGCGUGCCUAAUACAUGCAAGUCGAGCGAAUGGAUUGAGAGCUUGCUCUUAUGAAGUUAGCGGCGGACGGGUGAGUAACACGUGAGUAACCUGCCCAUAAGACUGGGAUAACUCCGGGAAACCGGGGCUAAUACCAGAUAACAUUUUGAACCGCAUGGUUCGAAAUUGAAAGGCGGCUUCGGCUGUCACUUAUGGAUGGACCCGCGUCGCUUUAGCUAGUUGGUGAGGUAACGGCUCACCAAGGCAACGAUGCGUAGCCGACCUGAGAGGGUGAUCGGCCACACUGGGACUGAGACACGGCCCAGACUCCUACGGGAGGCAGCAGUAGGGAAUCUUCCGCAAUGGACGAAAGUCUGACGGAGCAACGCCGCGUGAGUGAUGAAGGCUUUCGGGUCGUAAAACUCUGUUGUUAGGGAAGAACAAGUGCUAGUUGAAUAAGCUGGCACCUUGACGGUACCUAACCAGAAAGCCACGGCUAACUACGUGCCAGCAGCCGCCGUAA
rnacentral:rRNA from 1 species